UGGGGAAUAUUGCACAAUGGGCGCAAGCCUGAUGCAGCCAUGCCGCGUGUGUGAAGAAGGCCUUCGGGUUGUAAAGCACUUUCAGCGAGGAGGAAGGUGGUGAGCUUAAUACGCUCAUCAAUUGACGUUACUCGCAGAAGAAGCACCGGCUAACUCCGUGCCAGCAGCCGCGGUAAUACGGAGGGUGCAAGCGUUAAUCGGAAUUACUGGGCGUAAAGCGCACGCAGGCGGUUUGUUAAGUCAGAUGUGAAAUCCCCGGGCUCAACCUGGGAACUGCAUUUGAAACUGGCAAGCUAGAGUCUCGUAGAGGGGGGUAGAAUUCCAGGUGUAGCGGUGAAAUGCGUAGAGAUCUGGAGGAAUACCGGUGGCGAAGGCGGCCCCCUGGACGAAGACUGACGCUCAGGCGCGAAAGCGUGGGGAGCAAAACAGGAUUAGAUACCCUGGUAGUCCACGCUGUAAAACGAUGUCGAUUUUGGAGGUUGUGCCCUUGAGGCGUGGCUUCCGGAGCUAACGCGUUAAAUCGACCGCC
rnacentral:rRNA from 1 species